CACGUAGUUAGCCGGCGCUUCUUCUGCAGGUACCGUCACUUUCGCUUCUUCCCUACUGAAAGAGGUUUACAACCCGAAGGCCGUCAUCCCCCACGCGGCGUCGCUGCAUCAGGCUUUCGCCCAUUGUGCAAUAUUCCCCACUGCUGCCUCCCGUAGGAGUCUGGGCCGUGUCUCAGUCCCAGUGUGGCCGGUCGCCCUCUCAGGCCGGCUACCCGUCAUCGCCUUGGUGAGCCAUUACCUCACCAACAAACUGAUAGGCCGCGAGUCCAUCCCCCACCGAAAAACUUUCCACAACACACCAUGCGGUGCGAAGUCAUAUCCGGUAUUAGCCCCGAUUUCCCGAGGUUAUCCCGAAGAGGGGGCAGGUUACUCACGUGUUACUCACCCGUUCGCCACUAAUCAGACAAGGCAAGCCCUGUCGUCAUCGUUCGACUUGCAUGUGUUAAGCACGCCGCCAGCGUUCGUCCUGAGCCAGGAGUCAAACUCU
rnacentral:rRNA from 1 species